rnacentral:rRNA from 1 species
AUUGAACGCUGGCGGCAGGCCUAACACAUGCAAGUCGAACGAGUGGCGGACGGGUGAGUAAUGUCUGGGAAACUGCCCGAUGGAGGGGGAUAACUACUGGAAACGGUAGCUAAUACCGCAUACCAUCAGAUGAACCCAGAUGGGAUUAGCUUGUAGGUGGGGUAACGGCUCACCAAGGCGACGAUCCCUAGCUGGUCUGAGAGGAUGAUCAGCCACACUGGAACUGAGACACGGUCCAGACUCCUACGGGAGGCAGCAGUGGGGAAUAUUGCACAAUGGGCGCAAGCCUGAUGCAGCCAUGCCGCGUGUAUGAAGAAGGCCUUCGGGUUGUAAAGUACUUUCAGCGGGGAGGCUUUACCCGCAGAAGAAGCACCGGCUAACUCCGUGCCAGCAGCCGCGGUAAUUC